GUCAUAUCGUGUUGAAACACCAACUCCCAUAUGAUCACUGAAGUUAAGCAAUGUUGAGCCUGGUCAGUACAUAGAUGGGUGACUACUUGGGACUAAGAGGUACUGUAAG